AAGAAUUUCGGAAAUUAAAAUAGGCGAGCAAGUUGUAACUUCACCUGUCGAAAUGGCUGAAACGUUUAAUAGCCAUUUCUCAAAUGUUGGGGUUGAUCUUGCAGCUAAAAUACCCGCUUCUGAGUAUAACCCAGAGGUCUAUCUCACACCUACAGAUAAAACGUUCAACCUGCAAACUCCUACGAUUGAUAGAGUCCACAGAUUGUUGAAAACGAUUGAUGAAAAAAAAUCUGUUGGUCUUGAUAAAAUACCAAAUAAAUUGUUAAAAAUGGCGGCAGAUGUGAUUGCGCCUUCUUUAACAGAGAUAUUUACUAAAUCUAUUCAUACUGGAAUAUUUCCAGAUGAAUGGAAGGAAGCAAGGG